rnacentral:lncRNA from 1 species
AUUUUUCUGUUUAGUUUUUUACAUUUAUAAUCAUGUAUUUUGCAUCUACAUAGAAGCCAAAAAUCUUUUUUUUUUUUCUGUAUAGGUGCAGGUAGUAACAUUUUGUGCUUUCAGGACAUAGGCUCUCUGUUGUAACUAUCCUAUGUCAUAAAUCCAUCUAUAGAUAAUAUAUCAAGAUGAUACGUAUGGCUCUUUUAUGCUGUAAAUAAAACAUUAUUUACAAAAACAGGAAUUUUAAACAUAGUUUAAAAUUGCUAGUAUAUAGUAUUGGAACAUAGGCAUUUUUAAUAAGACUUUUGACUUUAAAGUAAAUUUUAUGUGAUAUCAU